CACCGCGGUUACACGAGAGGCUCAAGUUAAUGUAAUUCGGCGUAAUGUGUGGUUAUAAAUAUUCUACUAAUAGGAUUUAAUAAUCUCAAGGCAGUUAUACGCAUUCGCGACCAAGAAAUCCCGUCACGAAAGUAAUCCUAAUAUAUUUAAAUCCACGAAAGCCAUGGCA
rnacentral:rRNA from 1 species